rnacentral:rRNA from 1 species
AGAGUUUGAUCAUGGCUCAGGAUGAACGCUAGCGGCAGGCCUAAUACAUGCAAGCCGAACGGCAAGUUGAGUAGCAAUACUUGACCUAGAGUGGCGUAAGGGUGCGUAACACGUAUGCAAUCUGCCCACAACAGGAGGAUAGCUCCCCGAAAGGGGAAUUAACCCUCCAUAGGAUCACACGAAGGCAUCUGAGAGUGAUUAAACCAAAAGGGGUUGUGGAUGAGCAUGCGGUUGAUUAGCUAGUUGGCGGGGUAACGGCCCACCAAGGCGAUGAUCAAUAGGGGAACUGAGAGGUUUAUCCCCCACACUGGCACUGAGAUACGGGCCAGACUCCUACGGGAGGCAGCAGUAGGGAAUAUUGGACAAUGGGCGAGAGCCUGAUCCAGCCAUGCCGCGUGCAGGAAGAAGGCCUUCUGGGUUGUAAACUGCUUUUGCCAGGGGAUAAAAGACCCGUGCGCGGGGAAUUGAAGGUACCUGGUGAAUAAGCCACGGCUAACUACGUGCCAGCAGCCGCGGUAAUACGUAGGUGGCAAGCGUUGUCCGGAUUUAUUGGGUUUAAAGGGUGCGUAGGCGGUUCCAUAAGUCAGUGGUGAAAUACGGCAGCUCAACUGUCGAGGUGCCAUUGAUACUGUGGAACUUGAGUACAGACGAGGUAGGCGGAAUUGACGGUGUAGCGGUGAAAUGCUUAGAUAUCGUCAAGAACACCGAUAGCGAAGGCAGCUUACUAGACUGUAACUGACGCUGAGGCACGAAAGUGUGGGGAUCAAACAGGAUUAGAUACCCUAGUAGUCC